GAUGGCGGCUUAGAGAAAGCUAAAGUUCAGAUCUCCGGAAAACCCUCCCGACCAAACUCAAACUAUAAGCUCCUAAGGCACCGACAUUCAAAACGAUCAACAGCAUAGACCCUGGGAAUCCUCCUCCUGGACCUGGACCUGGAUCAAAAGUAAAUAGAAGAAUCAUUCAUAAGAAAAGAUUGGGGCAUUAAAGGAUACAAAAUGAUAAGGGAGAAAAAAAGACUUCCCAGUAAGCAUGGAGGCAUUCCUGACGUGGGACGCUUCCUCUCCCCAGCACCCAAUGAAAUUGACUACCUCAAAAGAACAUAAAAAUCAUUUUUAGAAGAAUGGAGGAACUCAACAGUAUGGUUCAGCAUUGAAGUGGAUUGGAGAGUCUUGCAGGAGGGAGAGAAUUUGGAACUCAAAAUAUUUUUAAAGAUGAAUAUUUAAAAGCAUCACCAGGAAAUAUUUAAUGAAAUUGAUAACAAUAAAAAUAUUUAAAACACUGAAAGAAAAGAAAUC
rnacentral:lncRNA from 1 species